AACGAACGCUGGCGGCGUGGAUAAGACAUGCAAGUCGAACGGGACAGACCGAGUAGCAAUAUUUGGAAUGUUCAGUGGCGAACGGGUGCGUAACACGCGGAUAACAUUCCGGAAAGCGGGGAAUAGCCCAGGGAAACUUGGAUUAAUACCGCAUGUGGCCGCAAGGCUAAAGACGGGGACCGCAAGGCCUGCCACUUUCCGAUUGGUCCGCGGCCUAUCAGCCAGUUGGCGGGGUAAUGGCCCACCAAGGCUACGACGGGUAGCUGGUCUUAGAGGACGACCAGCCACACUGGAACUGAGACACGGUCCAGACACCUACGGGUGGCAGCAGUCGAGAAUCUUUCACAAUGGGGGCAACCCUGAUGGAGCGACGCCGCGUGGAGGAUAAGGUCUUCGGAUUGUAAACUCCUGUCAUGCGAGAACAAGGUACUCAGGCUAAUAACCUGAUUGUUUGAUGGUACCGCAAGAGGAAGAGACGGCUAACUCUGUGCCAGCCGCCGCCGUAAGAC
rnacentral:rRNA from 1 species